rnacentral:rRNA from 1 species
CGGAGGGUGCAAGCGUUGUCCGGAUUUAUUGGGUUUAAAGGGUGCGUAGGUGGCCUGGUAAGUCCGUGGUGAAAGCCUCUUGCUCAACAAGAGAACUGCCAUGGAUACUGCCGGGCUUGAGUCCAGACGAGGUUGGCGGAAUAGAGGCUGUAGCGGUGAAAUGCAUAGAUAGCCUCUAGAACCCCGAUUGCGUAGGCAGCUGACUAGGCUGGUACUGACACUGAGGCACGAAAGCGUGGGAGCGAACAGGAUU